UGGUCUGAGAGGAUGAUCAGUCACACUGGAACUGAGACACGGUCCAGACUCCUACGGGAGGCAGCAGUGGGGAAUAUUGGACAAUGGGCGAAAGCCUGAUCCAGCCAUGCCGCGUGUGUGAAGAAGGUCUUCGGAUUGUAAAGCACUUUAAGUUGGGAGGAAGGGCAGUAAGUUAAUACCUUGCUGUUUUGACGUUACCAACAGAAUAAGCACCGGCUAACUUCGUGCCAGCAGCCGCGGUAAU
rnacentral:rRNA from 1 species